rnacentral:lncRNA from 1 species
AAGUGGCUGUGGCCAGAGAGAGCAGGGCCCGAUACCUCUGGAGGUGUGUGUAUGAGCGCGAGAAAGUCCAUAGUCCGAUGGGAACCAGCACUCCUCCCGCAGUCUGUCCUCGCAGAAGUCAUGUGCUUCUGCCCAGCUCGCUCUGGUUUGUAAAAGCUGAUGCGAGUCCAUGCAGAUGACAGCGUGGUCCUGCAUUUGAUAAUUAGAUCGUAAAGUGUAACUCGUGAAUACAGCGACGUGUCCAUUUGGCUCAUUACUUGACUUCCUUUAGGGUGCAGUCGUUAAGUUACUUUUAUCCUUUAGUUAGGCAGAGAAGAUUCAUACCAGUUAUUACUUGCCAACCUCUUUGGUGUUGAAUGAAAAGCAAAAGCCUAGAAGAAAACAACCAGCUCUAACAGCCUGAACAUUGGGGUCAAACUUGAUUUGCUUUAUGCCCUUCAAAGAAGUUAGACACAGCUUAAACAAAAUGCAUAGGCAGCUAUCAAAAAACAAUAACAACAACAACAGACGUUUUUUGCUGUUGUGUGUUUAUUUCACACGACCCCCGAUUUGCUUUGAUGUCCGUUUCCUAGCGCGCGGCCCCAGAAUUUGUCCAGACCCAGUUAGAGAUCACACUCUUCGGAGAAGACCCACGAUUUGAAGGUUAUGGGUAACCGAACGACAGCGGGAGUUCCUAGCGGAUGUGAUUCUUGAUCGAGUCAGGGCACAUUCUGCCCUGUCACGUGUUGUAAAAACAUGGUGCAGAACGAAUCUGAGGGGCCAGGGGAAACCAGCCCUGUGCUGUCAACCCGUGCUGCCGUCCGUGAGCCUCCUCUCUUGAAGGAGGAAUUCCUGUGGGUAGUGACGGUCGUCAUGUUGUAUGAGUCACAAGACAGGCACUCGGACCCUUUAGGUCCCAGCACUGAGUGUCUGGGUUCAGCCAGUCUGAGUUGUAGAUUUGGCUCAGGGAUUCCCGGUGGCCAGAGCAAAACGGGGGGACACGCCAAGAUUCUCCUCAUCCACGAGGUGGGGACUGGCCAGUUGUGAAAAGCAGGCUUCUUGCGAAAGUUCAGGCAGGAAAGAUAAGGAGAUGGGGAUGUGAGCGACUUUCCUGUCCAGCCUGAGACGUGGCCUUCACGGCACUUCCUCCCCCCCCACCCCCCACUUUUGUAGCUUCUGAAUAGAGAUAGGACGUGUGACUCAGGUGGCAAAGGUCCGCAUCCCGGAUGCUCGGAUCAUCAGCACUUUGCUCCGGGAGGAUGCACUGAGCAGUGUUCUGGGGACACACGAGAGCAAAGAAUCCCCUUGGUUUGGGGGUGGGUUUGCCCGCACCGUCCUCUCAAGCCCUGCUCCUCGGCCGGUGCUCCGUCGGCUGUGUCCCAGGCGUCCGUACUCAUACAGAAACGUCCUGCCGACAGAGUGUUUUCUUCCUUGCUGAGGGACGGCUGUCCGCAGAGGUCCGCAGUCUGUGUUCCAUCCCCGGUCGUCGGUCUCAGAACCCGGUACCUUAUCAAACGACGUUUCUGGAGCAGUGUCCCAUUGCUUCGCCUGCCUCCCUGUCUGCCGUGAGGUUUCUCAGAUACCGCGGCUUCCUUGUCUUCCUGGGGUGCCAGAGGGAAGCUCAGAGCGGGAGCGGAGACUGGGCCACACGAGCGAAGCUUCCGCACGUCUGCCCAGUAAGCACCAUGCGGUGGUUUGGGCUCCUUCUGGUUCCUCUCGGGCUGCCGGGAGGUGCUCUGGCCUGUCAGAGCUGCUUCUUUUUGCCCUUCCCUUCCCCUCCCUCCUCUUCCCCUCCCUCCUCUUCCCUUCCCUCCCCUCCCCUUCCCUUCUCUAUUCUCGUUGCCUGGACCCGGUCUCUUGAGGCAGAGAAACCGGCCACGUGUCUUCGUUCUCUGAGGAAAGAGCCCUCUGACGAGGGCCCCCCUGCCAGUGAGUGUCGGCUGGGUGACGCUGGGGUGGGCACUCAGGGUCCCGUCGCACCUUAGGGAACGUGGGCUGCAGGGGCGGGUUAUUACAGACGUGCUGCUUUCACCAUGUAACUUGAGCAGGUGACAUCAGGGGGUGGUGGUUCCGGUAAAAGUUGACGAGCGCACGCGGCUUGCUGGAGAGGCCUGUGUGCUGAGCGGUUGGUGCCUCUCUGCUUAGUGCUUGUGUGCCAGCCGCUGACUUGUUCUUUGGUUCCAUCCCGCCACCCAAUAUAAACUUGUGGGUGUGUUUAUUUUCCUUAUCUGGGUGCUUUAUGUUUUUGUGUAUGUCUGUGUACUAAUAUUAUUUUUUAAAAUUUUUUUAAUGUUUAUUUUUGAGAGACAGACAGACAGACGGAGCAUGAGCAGGGGAGGGGCAGAGAGAGAGGGAGACAGAAUCUGAGGCGGGCUCCAGGCUCUGAGCUGUCCGUGCAGAGCCCGACGCGGGGCUCGAACCCACGAACCUUGAGAUCGUGACCUGAGCCGAAGUCAGACGCUUAACCUACUGAGCCACCCAGGCGCCCCUGUCCAUGUAUUAUUUUUUAAACAAAUUGGGUUCCUACUAAAUUAGAACUUAAAAAAAACAUUUUGUUAUAAUAAUAAUUUUAAAAAACAGUUCUUGAGAACGUAGAGUGACUGGUAAAAUGAACUCUGUCUCCUUAUCACCCAGGGUUAACAACUGUCAGCUUUUCAUGAUUCUUUUCCUAUGGGCGGUGGGGGGCAGUGGCAGGAAGGGGGCCGGAUGGUUGGAGGGGGCGGGAAGGAGGGGGAGGAGAGAGAAGGAGGGGGAGGAGAGAGAGGGCAGUCGGUAUUUUAAAGCACAUUUCAGGCAUCAUACCAUUUCACUCCAGGACUUUGUUCUCUUUGUUAUUCAAUGAUGUACUUUUUGUGUGUUGACUGUUCUUCCUCUUGUUACUGGAAAAACUCUUGGACUCUGUCCUGGUGAUAUUGUAACAGUGUGCCCUUGUGGACACAUUGUCCUUUGCACAGCGCUUGAAGGGCAGGUGGCCAGGGACCCUGAGGGGCACGGCGUGCGGCUGUGAAGCUCACGGUCCAGUUACUAGGAGAACCCAGAGGUGUAACCGCGGCCUCCCUAGCUUGUGGGGUCAGGUGGAAGGCUAGACCUACACUGAUGUUGUGUUUACAAGGAGUAGAUCCAGAUCUAAGUCAUAAAGAUCUGUGUCAUUUAUCAAUGUCAAACGGCAGUGAUAGCCUUGAAUAAUAAGCCUCUCUAAAGGAGUGUGGCAAGAUCUUGUCUUAUUUCUGGAGUUCCCUGGGCAGAAAGCUUUGGACAUUACAGUUUAGUCCUUUAUAGAUUAAUCUGCUGUGCUGUGAGCACUCUGACAGUCUCUCUGUGCUGUGCUUUCCUGGGUUUGGAAAGCUCCCCUUUGGUCUGUCAUACGCCUGCCCCGCCUGCCCCGCCGUAGCCCCGAGCGAGGACAGGCGUUGAACUCCCCCCAGGGAAGUGCAGGUGGCCGGUGACUUGACUUCAGUUCUCGUGUCCCCCAGCUCGGAAGCCUUUCUGCUUCAGAUGGUGUCGAGGGAGCCUGUUGUGAACUGGAAGCAUACCUUCACUUGAACAUGGCUGUGUCACAUGUUUGGGGCAUUCUCAGCACCCCGAGCGAGAUCCUGCAGAUGCCUGGGGAGGACCGCACCCCCUUUGACGUUCUGGUCCGUGACAGGGCUGGGGCCGCGAGCACACCCCUUUCUGGAGUUGAUUCCCAACAUUACUGUCUCUCCCCUGUGACCUUGCCGGUCCCCCAUGACCUCUCUCCAUUGGCAGACCAAACCCUGAUGAUGACCUCUGCCCCCUGUACCUUCGUGCUCAGGUUACUUUGGAGACGGUGGAGAUCAUUUGAGCCUAAAAUGUCUGAAAUUUUCCCUGAGAACUACAGAUCUUGGAUCCAGUAGAGAAGUCUGGACAUUUCUCCCCACCCAGAGGGAGUUGGUGCAAACAUCAGAUUUCCCAGUUCCUUUUAAAACGUCUAGACGUGAGCAUUCUAUUGGCUGAGGUUCCCUGUGGGAGUAAAGUGAUUCUUCAGUGUUUAUGCUUUAUUCGGGAAAUUUUUAUAGUCACAAUAUCAAAAUUUGUGUAUGUUGCUUCUUACAAAGAUACUUGCUUUUAUUUCGUCAGUUAAAACUGGUCUCCGGCUGAAGCAUCUUUCCUGCUGCAGGGGUAUUGUGUAAAACCUGGUUUGUGCACUUGAUUUAGGGGCGUUACACCUAUUUGGAGUGCCAGACAGUUGAGUAAGAAUUGAACAUAAUUUCAGUGCAGCUAUUUUAGCAGUUGUUUAUUAUUCAAGGAGUUCUUUACAGAAAGUAGGUUAAUCUCAUUUUUUAAUAUGAAGUUGCUUUGAAAUAAGGGAAAGCCAGCUAAAAUAGGGGGGACCGUGUGUUGUGGAAUAUGUUGCACUGUUUCACAAAUUUUUAAUGUUUAUUUAUUUUUGAGAAACAGAGAGAGAGUGUGAGCGGGGCAGGGGCAGAGAGAGAGGGAGACACGGAAACCGAAGCAGGCUCUAGGCUCCGAGCUGUCAGCACAGAGCCCAUCGCGGGGCUCGACCCCACGAACCAUGAGAUCUGACCUGAGCCGAAGUCGACCGCUUAACCGGCUGAGCCACCCAGGCGCCCCUAGGCAGAGCUAAAUUAGUCAAAAUGGUUGGUUAUUGGACCAAAUGUUUUCAAACCAAAGUUCUGGUUUUAACAUGUAAAUAAAACACGGGCCUAUAAUUAGUGCAUUAACCGAUAUGCAAAUGGUACAGCCAGAUAAUUAGGAAACUGCUUAGAAGCAGUUUCAUUUGCAAAACAAAAAGCUUCCUACAAAGUCUAAUGCGAUAUAGGGCUUGUUAGAGAUUUUGUGUUUUGUGGGCACAGCUAGACGGAGUUUGCCCCGCACGCCGAAGGGGCUACAAAAGGACAGUCUGCUCUUGGGCCUGGGCCUUUGGACCUAGCCGAGACCCCAGGGGGCUUCCAUGGGGGAGAGCUGGUGUGGCUGUGGGUGGGGGCGGGGAGGUCGAGACCACAGAGAGCCCUUCAGUCGGGUCUGGUGUGCCCGCCGCAAAGCUGCCCACGGCCUGGUCUCAGCUGUGCCAAGUCCUCGCCGCGUGACCUUGGGCAAAACACUUGGACGACUGCAGUUUGUAAACUUUGAAGAUUCAACUAGAAUGCGAUUUUCAAAUUCAGGGGCUUGAAUUCCCCCCAGAGAGGAGGUGUGAAGGAACGUGAUAAACAGGUGACUUCUUGAAGACACGGGCAAAGAUGAUCGUUUUUGUGUGAAUUUAGCCAUGACUACAGUAGAGGGCAAAACACAACGUUGGCGCGUAGGCCUAAGGUAAACCGGAAGCAUCGAUUAUUGUCCCUCUUACCGUGGAGGCUCGCAGGCCUGUCUGUGCACCUGUGCUCUGGGCCGGCUGUUUUCUGGCUGCGUUCACCCCCUGCCCGUGGGAGUGCCGGGAGAGGUGUUCAGGAUGCUGGCUGACAUCCUCACCAGUUGCCGGAUAAUUCCUGAACUCUUUCCCUCCUCGUGGGUACCGCCCCCUGCGUCAGAACGGAUCCUGGACCCGUUUCCAUGCCAGAAACACGGUGCUUCUCCUGGUUUGGCUGCAGCUGCGCGCCACGCGACCCGCUAAUUCCUAGACUCCUUUGUGUCAUUCGUUCUGGGCUCUGUCACUCGAGUGCCUGCUCCGCGCCGGGGACAGCUGUGGACCGGUCCCAAGUAAAUUCUCCGUGCUGUCAUGUUUAACUUCAGUAAGCAGCAUUUUGAGUGGAUGCUACAUUCACGUGGCUCUGCGUUCACGUGGUGGGAGAGGACACACAGGAGCCGGUGUGACUGCCACGCUUGCUGCCCCGGUCCCCUGCCUGGGCUCGGCCCGCACUGCCUGUUUGGAAGCCUUCGAGCGGGAUUUUAUGCGUGUGUUUAGAACACAAGUCCGCGUCUCCUCCCGUCUUUUACACAGACCGCACGACGCGCUGCGUGUAAAUCUCUCCCCUCGCUUUUGUCGCGUAACAGUCAGAUUUGCAUUUUCUUAGAGUCCCGAAGGAUGCUCCUCACAGCGUUGGCCCGGGUCGUGCAGAGGCUGGGGCCCAGGAGGCCCGUCCUGCCCGCGCUUCCGUGUGAGGAGGACGUGUUGCUCCUGGAGGAAGCAGGAGGAGGUCGUGUAAGGUAACUGAGUCACACGAUCACAUGCGGGUCAGACCUUGGCUUCUUCUAGUCGCCCUUCAGGACUAGGGAGCUGGGGGCCGCGGGCGGGAGAGGGCCGCUCGGAAAGAAGCGCAGGCCUGUCUGGUCGCCUUUGCCAAAGCGCCGGAGGGAAGUGAAGCUGCGUGGCCCCCCCCGCCGACAGUGUGUCCCCUGAUGUGACCCCACGGUUGCAGAUGGGACGUGUGCUCAGGAACCGUCAGAGGCAGGGGGCGGCCCCGAGCCGCCUGUGAGGAGCUCAGGCUCUGCGGGGAAACCUGCCCUUGACCCCCCGCUGGGGAGCAGGGGCGGGCCCGGUGGGCCUGCUGACCGGGGCUCGGAGCGGAGGCGGCCGGGCCCUGUGUUCACAGGCCCUGCGACGGGACCCGAGAGGGUGCUCCUGAGGUGCGCGGACAGAAGGGAGAGUUUGUCAAAGAGAUCAAGGCUUGUGCUCACGUGCACCUCAUUUUAAGGAACUUCGCUUUUGGUGAGUGUGUCUGUAACAAGCUUUGGUUCUAGUAAACUCUGAGCGGCGUUGGCUGUUCUCGUCUCCCUCCCUCCUUGCCACGAGGGAGAGCGGGAAGUGAGAAGGCAAGCAACAGACCUGCCCUCUCACGUGCGGAGCAGAAGUGUGCUAAGAAAAGACCGUGGAUUGAUUAUUUAUUUAUUCAGAGAGAGCGGGCAAACGGGGCAGAGAGAGGGGGAGAGAGAGAAUCCCAAGCAGGCUCCGUACUCUCAGCGUGGAGCCUGACAUGGGGCUCGACCCCAUGAACCGUGAGAUCAUGACCUGGGCUGAAACCAAGAGUCGGACGCAUAACCGACUGAGCCACCCAGGCACCCUAAGACCUAGAUUCUUUUUUAAAUUUACAUCCAAGUGGGUUAACAUAUAGUGUAAUAAUGAUUUUAGGAGUAGAAUUUAGUGAUUCAUCACUUACGUAUAACACCCAGUGUUCAUCCCAGCCAGUGCCCCUCCUUAAUGCCCCUGGCCCAUUUAGCCCAUGCCCCUUCCCACAACUCCUUCAGCAACCCUGUUUGUUCUCUGUAUUUAAGAGUCUCUUAGGUUUUGUCCCCCUCCCUGUUUUUAUAUUAUUUUUGCUUCCCUUCCCUUGUGUUCAUCUGUUUUGUGUCUUAAAGCCCUCAUAUGAGUGAAGUCAUGAUAUUUGUCUUUCUUGGACUAAUUUUGCUUAGCAUAACACACUCUAGUUCCAUCCACGUAGUUGCAAAUGGCAAGAUUUCAUUCUUUUUGAUGCCAAGUAAUACUCCAUUGUGUAUAUAUAUCACAUCUUCUUUAUCCAGUCAUCCAUCGAUGGACAUUUGGGCUCUUUCCAUACUUUGGCUGUUGUUGAUAGUGCUGCUAUAAACAUGGGGGUGCAUGUGUCCCUUCGAAACAGCACACCUGUAUCCCUUGGAUAAAUACCUAGUAGUGCAAUUGCUGGGUCGUAGGGUAGUUCUAUUUUUAGUUUUUUGAGGACCCUCCAUACUGUUUUCCAGAGGGGCUGCACCAGCUUGCAUUCCCACCAGCAAUGCAAAAGAGGUCCUCUCUCUCCGCAUCCUCGCCAACAUCUGUUGUUGCCUGAGUUGUUAAUGUGAACCAUUCUGAUAGGUAUCAGGUGGUAUCUCAUUGUGGUUUUGAUUUGUAUUUCCCUGAUGAUGAGUGAUGUGGAGCAUUUUUUCAUGUGCCGGUUGGCCAUCUGGAUGUCUUUGGAAGUUUCUAUACAUGUCUUCUGCCCACUUUGUAACUGGAUUGUUUUUCGGGUGUUGAAUUUGGUAAGUUCUUUAUAGAUUUUGGAUACUAUAACCCUUUAUCUGAUCUGCCAUUUGCAAAUCCCUUCUCCCAUUCUGUCAGUUGCCUUUGGUUUUGCUGAUUGUUUCCUUCGCUGUGCAGAAGCUUUUUAUCUUGAUGAGGUCCCAGUAGUUGAUUUUUGCUUUUGUUUCCCUUGCCUAUGGAGACGUGUUGAGUAAGAAGUUGCUGCGGCAAGGUCAAAGAGGUUUUGCCUGCUUUCUCCUAGAGGAUGUUGAUGGCUUCCUGUCUUACAUUGAGGGCUUUCAUCCAUUUUGAGUUUAUUUUUGUGUAUGGGGUAAGAAAGUGGUCCGGGGUCAUUUUUCUGCAUGUCGCUGUCCAGUUUUGCCAGCACCACUUACUGAAGAGAUGGUCUUUAUUCCAUUGGAUAUUCUUUCCUGCUUUGUCAAAGAUUAGUUGGCCGUACGUUUGUGGGUCCAUUGCUGGGUUCUGUAUUCUGUUCCACUGACCUGUGUGUCUGUUUUUGUGCCAGUACCGUAUUGUCUUGAUGACUACAGCUUUGUAAUACAUCUUGAAGUCUGGGAUUGUAAUGCCUUCAGCUUUAGUUUUCUUUUUCAGGAUUGUCUUGGCUAUUUGGGGUCUUUUCUGGUUCCGUACAAACUUUAGGAUUGUUUGUUUUAGCUCUGUGAAGAAUGCUGGUGUUAUUUUGAUAGGGAUUGCACUGGAUAUACAAAUUUCUUUGGGUAGUUUCGACAUUUUAACAAUUUUUGUUCUUCUUAUCCAUGAGCUUUCUAUAGUUUUCAGUGUACAGAUUUUUCACAUCUUUGGUUAGGUUUAUUCUUAGGUAUUAUAUGGUUUUUUUUUUUUUAAUUUUUUUUUUUUUUUUCAACGUUUAUUUAUUUUGGGGACAGAGAGAGACAGAGCAUGAACGGGGGAGGGGCAGAGAGAGAGGGAGACACAGAAUCGGAAACAGGCUCCAGGCUCCGAGCCAUCAGCCCAGAGCCCGACGCGGGGCUCGAACUCCCGGACCGCGAGAUCGUGACCUGGCUGAAGUCGGACGCUUAACCGACUGCGCCACCCAGGCGCCCCGGUAUUAUAUGGUUUUUGGUGCAAUUGUGAAUGAGAUCAAUUCCUUGAUUUCUCUUUCUGCUGCUUCAUUACUGGUGUAUAGAAAUGCAACUGAUUUCUGUCCAUUGAUUUCACAUCCUGCAACUUUGCUGAAUUCAUGGGUCAGCUCUAGCAGUUUUUUGGUGGAGUCUUUUGGGUUUUCCGCCUGAAGUAUCAUGUUGUCUGUGAAGAGUGAAAGUUUGACUUCCUCCUGGGCAAUUUGGAUGCCUUUUAUUUCUUUGUGUUGUCUGAUUGCCAAGGUAAGAUUCCCAAUACUAUGUUGAAUAACAGUGGCGAGAGUGGACGUCCCUGUCUUGUUCCUGACCUUAGGGGGAAAGCUCUCAGUUUUUCCGCAUUGAGGAUGAUAUCAGCAUUGGGUCACUCAUACACGGCUUUUAUGAACUCGAGGUAUGCUCCUUCUAUCCCUGCCUUCUUGAGGGUUUUUAUUAAGAAAGGAUGCUGUAUUUUGUCAAAUUCUUUCUCUGCAUCUAUUGAGAGGAUCGUGUGGGUAAGACCUUGGAUUCUUGAUCCUGCUCACUUCUCGGCUUCAGCUGCCCUCUGAACAUUCAGUGCUUUUCAGAGCGAUUUAGAGGUCACUGGGGUCCCUGAUCCUUGACCCGGCCUGGCGGCCAUGGCAUCAGUCUUUCUCAGACCGGUUUGCACAGAGAACACACGUAUUGCUCUGAUACUUUUGCAAUUAGCAGAAGUGUCUCCCCCUGUAGGGGAUCCCAGCUGACAGGGGAGGUGACCUUACCUGGGGGAAUGAGUGUGCCCUGCAGCAGGGAUUGGGCUCUUGUGUUUCUGGGCUCUUCCAGCAAUGCUAUUCUCCCAUCCAAGGGUGAGCUGCCAGUGAGAGUGGGGUGCUGCUGGCUCCGGCCUUCCUACCUCCCACCUUUCCAGCUCCCACCGUGACCCAGGACAACCUUUCUUCUCGGACCUCAGGUUUCCUACCUUAAGUCCUGGUGCUUAUUUUGCAGAAAAACAGUAGCUUCUUGAAAAAGUAAUAAUAGCAAGUGCUUUACCUAAAUUUUCUCAUUUCGUCCUCUUAACAACUGUAUAAUAACAAACAGCCCAUGGCAACUUCACAGGUAGUUUCAUCUUCGUUGUUCAGCCGAGGAAAGCAGGGAAGUUAAAAACCUUGCCCUUGGUCACGUGGCAGAAACUGGUGGAAGGGGCAUGAGAACACACAUCCAUCUACCUGAUUCCAAAAUUUGCGUUCUUUGUCUGACCUUUGCCAUAGCAAUGGCUUUCAUUUAUGGAGGCCUUACUGUGGGCCAGAACCACUGCUUAUGGAAACAACUCUGUGAGGUUCCCAGCUUCGUUAAGGGUCCGCGUCAGCAUUACCGGUAAUGAGACGGGACAUCGCCUUCCCCGUCAUACAAUGCCCUGAAUAGGACACGAGGUAUUCUUGCCAGAAUGCACAACCUCAGUCUAGAGGGAACAGCCUUGAAACCCAAAUUGAGAGACACCCCACGGAAGAACUAUAGUCCCUCAGCGGUGUCAAGGCCACGAAGCACAAGAAAAGAUCAGGGAUGGCCACACAUUGGGGGAGACCGAGGAGGGCGGGAUGACUGCAUGGUGGUGGGAACAGAGAGGACAUUGGAGGGACCCUGGCAAGACUCAGAGAAGAUCGGUCGCUUAGUUGAUGACCCAACGAUGUCAGUCUCCUGGUUUUGGUAACUGCACUAAGGUUAUCCAAGUUAACAAGGCAGAGCUGGGCAAAGGGCAUUCCUCAGUUUUCUGUAAUAUUAUUGCAGCUUUUCUGCAAAUUUGAAAUUACUUCAAAAUGAAAGGCCAAAAAAAAUUUUUUUUUAACCACCUCAGAUCGAUAUUAUUUAUGAUAUUAUUUAUCCUCAUUUAAGAGAUGACGAAACGAGCUUGGACGUUGGGGUGACUCACCCCAGAUCACACACAUGGCGGUCGUUGUUCGUGACGGAAGGAGAGAGGAUUCGAACCCAAUCUUGGAAAUUGCAGAGCCCACUUGAACCCCUAGGCCUGUGGCUGCCUCGUGUUCAAGUGUGUGUGCUCCAGAAACAGCAGCCCUGACCAGACUGUGCUCCAGUUACACAGGCUUUAUAUUGACAGAAAGAGUGCCUUUGCGCCUGUUGGGAAAAGCAGUGCAUGUUAAUAAUAUAAAAUUUUAUAUAUAUAUAUUAUAUGUAUAUAUAUAUUAUAUACAUAUAAUAUAUAAUAUAUUUAUAAUAUGUAAAUAUUUAUAUUUAUAUAAUUUGUUCAUUUAUAUAUAUUUAUAUGUAAUAUAGUAUAUAAAUAUAUAAUAUAUAUAAUAUAUAUAUUGGACAUAUAUAUAUUGGAUAUAUAAAUAUAUAAUAUAUAAUAUAUAUAUAUAAUAUAUAUAUACAUAUAUAUUAUAUAUAUAGUGUGUGUGUGUGUGUGUGUGUGUGUGUGUGAGAAGCAGUAUUAAGAGAACUUUGUAUUUAAGGCAAUUAAAAGGAAUCACUGAAAUAGUCCAAGUCAAAGUUACAUAGAUGUUUACCAAGGAAAAGGGAAACUAUUCAUUAUAAAGCUGUUGAAAUGGUUUUCACAUCAUUUCUACAUCCUGCAUCUCCAAACUGCAAAUACCCAGUUUCUGUCUCUUCUUGCCGCCCUCUCAAACUUUUCCCUAUAAAUACGGGACGCCUGGGUGGCUCAGUCGGUUGAGCGGCCGACUUCGGCUCAGGUCAUGAUCUCACGGUCUGUGAGUUCGAGCCCCGCAUCAGGCUGUGUGCUGACAGCUCAGAGCCUGGAGCCUGUUUCAGAUUCUGUGUCUCCCUCUCUGACCCUCCCCUGUUCAUGCUCUGUCUCUCUCUGUCUCAAAAAUAAAUAAACGUUAAAAAAAAGAAAAUUAAAAAAAAAUACGGGUGGCCCAGUUACACCAGUGAAGCUUAUAUUGUUUAAGUCACAAGAUACAAGAAGAGGAAGGGCAACUACGUGGCUCAGUCCGUUGAGUGUCGGACUCUUGGUUUCAACUCAGGUCAUGAUCUCACCGUCCGUGGGUUCGAGCCCUGUGUGAGGCCCUACAGUGACAGUGGGAGCCUGCUUGGGAUUCUUUUUCCUCUCUCUCUGCCCCUCCCCUACUUUGUUUUGCUUCAUUAAAAAAUUGAUAGUUUGAAAAUACAUGUUUGGAAAAAAAACAGCAUUGUUUCAAAACUUCAAUCAGAAGAUGAGAAUACAAGUUUGAAAGAAAAUCCCAGAUAAUUUUUUUUUAAGUUUAUUUAUUUUUGAGAGAGGCAAGGGAGCAUGAGUGGGGGAAGGGCAGAGAGAGAGAGAGAGAGAAUCCCAUGCAGGUUCUGCACUGCCAGCACAGAGCCUGACACGGGGCUCGAACUCAGGAACCCUGAGAUCAUGACCUGAGCCAAAACCAAGAGUUGGGACGUCUAACCAACUCAGCCACCCAGGUGCCCUGAUCCUGGAUAAAUUUUUAAAAUUCUGAUAAAAUAGAAUUGCAAUGGAAGUGUUUUUAAGCUUUAAAAGAAAAGAAUCAUUUGCUCUGUUCAUCUCAAAUAUGUAAGUGAUAAAUUCUGGAUAAUUCCUUGAUGUAAUAAUAGGAUUAAAACUGUUGUAUAAGAAUCUAACCUGAAAUCACUUUCUCAGCCUCCAUGGCCUGGCCUGUAAAAUAGGGGUACAGUAAACUUCCCCAAAAUAUUUGCUGAGAGAAUUAGAUAAUUUUAUAGCUUAUAAAGUACCUGCAAAUAAAAAAUGUAAGAUUCAUUUUUCUUUUUUUUUUUUCCCUAAAAAAUCCCUUCCUUCCUUCUAAGAACCCAUUAUACUUUGAGUGUAACUCCUGCGGAAGUUAAUAACCUUCUAAAGACUUAGACCUUUGCUGUUUUGAUUUCCACGUGUUAGGUGUCUCACAGAAGCAUAGAGGACAAGCUGCUAUUUGCUGAGGCCGCAUCAACCAGCGUGCCGUGGUGCCGUUUUUCAUAGCAUGUGAUUCCCGUGGCCCUGUGAUAGAGCUAGCAGGCCACAGCACGAAGCCCAGGGACAGGCCUAGGGGGUUUCGUGAGACCAGAACCCUUUCAGCGGCUGGUUUUGAGAGGAGCCAUAAGUGAGAUGUGUCUGCUGGGUUCAGUCUGUCAGUUCCCUGCGUCUCCUCUCCAAGUUGCUGGGAUUUUUGGUGUGAGUAGGGUGACAGGUGGAAUGCGUGUGUUGAGGAAGGCAUCCACCUUUCAUUAAAAAAAUUUUUAAUGUCUAUUUAUUUUUGAGAGAGAGAGAGAGAGAAAGAGAGCGUGCGCACUAGCGGGGGAGGGGCAGAGAGAGAGGGAGACACAGAAUCUGAAUCAGGCUCCAGGCUCUGAGCUGUCAGCACAGAGCCCGACGCGGGGCUCGAACUCACGAACUGUGAGACCAUGACCUGAGCCGAAGCCCAACACUUGACCGACCGAGCUACCCAGCUGCCCUGGGCAUCCACCUUUAAAACAGCUAUUUAGGGGCACCUGGGUGGCUCAGUCAGUUAUCUGAGGUCACGAUCUCAAGGUUUGUGAGUUCGAGCCCCGCGUCGGGCUCGUAGCUGUCCAUACAAAGCCCACUUCGGAUCCCCUGUCCCCCUCUCCCUGCCCGUCCCCUGCUUGAGCGCUCUCAAAAAUAAAUAAAACCUUAAAAAAAUAAUAAAGAAAACAGAUAUUCUUUUUUAUAGCCUUUUACUUAUUAGAAGAAUAAUGGGUACUCGUGAUACUACGUUUUGAGCUCUGAGAAGAUAUGCAGAAUCAUUAAGUCACCGGGGGUAACUGUCAUCAGUUUGGUAUGUGGACCUAAACUCUGAUUUUCUGUGCGUGUGUAUCUGUCUGUAUGAUGCAGAUAUCACAAAACUGUGAUCCUGCCAUACAUGUACUGUACUUGCUUAAAAUUGGCAGUGUAGACCAUCCAGGUGUUUCUCCAUAUCCUGGAACAUUCUCCAAGAAGAUAGCGUGUAACGGUGUGGAAAUGCACAUAAGGGUGCUUACUAAUGCGCUCGGUCAGUUUCUUGUUGUUCACGGGGCCUCUUUUCCCCAGAGACAGGCUGGUGCCAUCUGAAACCCACAGCUCAAAACCAACUAAAUAUAAUCUCAGCCCUGAACUCCUAAGCUUCCUACCGUGUAAACGUUGCCUAAUACAAAGGUAGGUGUACAUAUACCUAACAGAAUCUAACAAUCUGAUUUUAUCUGCUACUUUUACCCUCGGGGGACCAGAGUAUUUAAAAACAGGAGGUUUGUCAUCUACCCUUGUGCGGCUCGACUCUGGGAUGGGAUGGGGGGCCUGCCGGGGGCCGGGACCAGGGCUGCUUGGUUUUGUUCACUUUCCUUCUGGCCACAGCCGCCACUGCCAGCAAUGUUGGGUGGGUUUCUGAAGACACAGGGGACCGGGGGCCCCAGGAAGACGGGGCUGCAGGGAAGGAGCGGUCUAGGGCUGCCUGGCCUGGGCAGCUGUUCCCAGAUGACAUUUAUGUUUUAUUAUUUUUUUUUUAAUGUUGAUUUAGUUUUUGAGAAAGGGAGAGAGCAGGGGAGGGGCAGAGAAAGAGGGAGACAGAAAAUCCCAAGCAGGCUCCUCGCUUUCAGCUCAGAGCCCGAAUCAGGGCUCGAACCCACAAACCAUGAGAUCGUGGACCCAAGCUGAAACCAGGAAUCGGACGCUUAACCACCUGAGCCAUGCACGCACCCCUGGCAUUUAUAUUCUAAAAGAUAAACGUUAAUGCUAGACUUGAGAAUUCUUCAGCAGUGUUUUCUUCCCUCUUCUCUUUCUCCUUUUCCUCUCACACUCUUUGUAAUCUUUAUUUUUUUUGAAAGCACAGAGUGGUACAUGGUUACUGCCUAUAGAUCAUGUGUAAGCUGGUGACAUUUCCUCACGCACUCCCAGUUUCCACCCUGUUAUCCCGUUGCCUCUGUAUUGUACACAGUUGCAGACUUGGAAUGCUUACGCACACGUAUAUACAUGCAUACGGCAAAAUACCUGCAUUUUACAAUGAAAAUCGUGUGUGUUUCUGUAUCACAGCCUUGUUGGUAUCUGCAGAUAAUGCCUCAUUCUGUCAGAUGACUGCCUGAUGUUAUGUUGUGAGGAGGCACCGCAUUGACUUACCCAGAUCGCGACAAAGGAUGUCUAGGUGCUUCUGUGGUAUAAACAGGGCUGCAGUGAAUGUUCUUGAACGUCCAUCUUGACUCGUGAAUAUGUCUAUAAGGCAGAUUCUUAGAAAUGGAGUUUCUGGGACGUGAAGUAAGUUGUAGAUUUUGGUAAAUCAUGUCACAUUGCCUUACGUAAAGGCUAGGACAGUCUUAACUCCUUUCUGUCUAAUUAUUUCUGCUUGUGUUGAAUCUCACACACAUUAUUUGUGUUUAUCUCCUGUCCCACACUUUUGGUACCCUUCGUUCCAUUUAUCCCACCUGUCGCGUUCUCUGUGAGACCCUUCCCAGAUCUUCGGUUCUCACUGUCAGGGAUACACGGCACUUGAAGAAUGGAGGCUCAGUACGGUCAUGACGUCCAGAAACCAAAACCUUAGUCAUUUUGGAAAUGAUAAAGUCAGCCCCAAGUUCAGUGCGUUACUCUGCGUCUGUUGUGGAUACUGGUCUGAUGUUCCUUAAUGAUGGGUAAUAGCCAUCAGGUGGGAACUGCAGUAUUAAUUAGGAGGCGCGAUGUGCUGGAUAACUAGUAACCAUUAGUUCCGCCUAGUCAUUCAUUCAUUCAUCCAUCCAUCCAUCCAUCCAUCCAUCCAUCCAUCCAUCCAGCGAGUAUUUACUAAGAGACUGUGCUGUGUGAGAUGCCCCACUGGUCCCUGAACGGUUGAGACUUUCCUGCACGUAUGGGGUGCUUCUGAGUAAGAGUUUCUGACUAGGGCAUGAGUGUCCCCGAACACUGGGGGUCUCACGCCUGAGGGGAUUGGCUCUGAUGGUGGGCACGGGGUGGGGGGGGUGCAGAGCGCCUGCUCAGGGUCUGUGCCCGUGCGCUCGGCACCGUGGAGCACACUUCACAGAACUGAAGGAGGCGCACAGGAGGGGUAGGGAGGCAAAUAGGAGGCUUGGGGACAUUGUGACUUACUUCGGAGCGUGGUGUGUGUGUUCCUGUGGCUCGCAGGGUGCCCGGGACAGUGCUCACUGCUAGUACGUACUUCAUAAAUGUUUGGCUCUAUUUUGAUUAACCAAUUUGGCUUUUGGGGAUACGUAUAAUUUUUUAGUCCUUAGCGCUUCAGUGCUGGCUCUGUUUAUAUCCAGAAGAAAGGCUCGUUAGGGUUAUAAAUAGAAGCUGAAUUCGAGCUGUGUCCUCAGGGGAGUUGACGUGCCUGCCGCCCUGCCAAAGCGCUCUGGUAAUCUGCUCUCUGAGUGCUGAUCAACAGGUUCCUUUAGUGAGCAGGUGUCUGUGUAACACGUCCCGAGGUCGGUCUGGGCAAGCAGGACUUAUUUUAGGUCCAAGGGCCUUUUAUCACGCGUGUAGCUUGACCACGGUAGCCUAGGCGUGGAGCAUGCUCAAGGGGACGGUAUAGACACGCGUAUGGGACCGCCUGGGUUAUUUUAUGGUAAGAAUGCAGUUCUCAGAAACGAUCUGGAACGCUGUUGUGGGCCUUUCAAGGUGCUAAAUCGUACCCUCCUUAUUGAGAGAUCCUUUUCCCCCAGAGGUAGUGUGUGGUUGCCGUUCUUAAGUCAUUCUCCAGUUUUGAUCUUCGUGAUUGGUGUUUUGUUCUUCUACAGAUUAAACCCGUAUUUUCCCUCGCUCCUCGUUUCUCUUUUAAACUUGAAAUAACCCGUGACAUUUGGAAGUGAAAUUGUUUGAGCUCACCGUUUACAUCUUCAGAUCGUUUGACAAGAUUUUGCAAUGCUUUUCAUGAGCCAGGCCACCUCCUCAGGUUAUGAUAACGCAAUGUUCUCCUUGUACGUGAAACUGACGUGUGCGCAAGCGGCUCAGUUGUUAACGCGUACAGAAGUGUGAAGACGGAAAAGAAAACGUGAGCACUGCCUGACUUGGGCACUUAAAAAACACAGCUCAGUGGCCAGGCCCUGCUGGGUAAUGAUGAUGGGGGGCCCUGCUCAGGUGUGCCCGACUCUCUGGGACUGUUCAGCCGCCGCUGCAGACUGAUGAGCGGUCUGUCUGUGAAGAAUCCAGAAGCUCUCAUACUUCGGAGCUGUUGGGAAACACGAGUAAGCCCUCCUCUUUAGGCUGUACUACGCACCGUGGUACUCACACACACCUGAUCGAACUUACUACUGAGGACGAUCUCGGUAACUUUGAAAAACGUAAGGGCAGGGGCGCCUGGGUGGCUCAGUCGGUUAAGCGUCCGACUUCGGCUCAGGUCAUGAUCUCACAGUUUGCGAGUUCGAGCCCCGCGUCGGGCUCUGUGCUGACAGCUCGGAGGCUGGAGCCUGCUUCGGAUUCUGUGUCUCCCUCUCUCUCUCUCUCUGCCCCUUUCCUGCUCAUGCUGUGUCUCUCUCUGUCUCAAAAAUAAAUAAACAUUAAAAAAAAAAAGAAAAACGUAAGGGCUUAAUUUGAGGUGCAGAAGGAUGGUGUUUAUAAUUUGGAGGGAAAACCUGGGUAUUUUUUUACUUUAGUUCAUUGUGUAAAUAUGAAGAGGGAACUUUCCUUUGAGUACUUUUCUGGUUUGGAGAUUGUAGUCUUGACUCUGCAUUUUCUCUUUGCUUUGCCUGUGGCAAAGAGGGAAAAUGGAGAAGCCUCUCUGAACGUCCUUUUUUAGGCAUAGCAAUUGGACGGCCGAUUCCUUUUAUGUGUUUAAACAAGGAAGUGCUUAAGCCAGAACAGCUCAGUGUUUUCUUCUCCUACUAACGUAAGUCUAUCAGGAAGAAGGUGUAGGAUCAAAAGACAUGUUUUCCUGUCUGAGUAUCCUAGAUGUAUUUCUUUUCAAGAGAUCACUUGUUCUUUUUUUUUUUUUAAUUUUUUUUUCAACGUUUUUAUUUAUUUUUGGGACAGAGAGAGACAGAGCAUGAACGGGGGUGGGGCAGAGAGAGAGGGAGACACAGAAUCGGAAACAGGCUCCAGGCUCCGAGCCAUCAGCCCAGAGCCUGACGCGGGGCUCGAACUCACGGACCGCGAGAUCGUGACCUGGCUGAAGUCGGACGCUUAACCGACUGCGCCACCCAGGCGCCCCAAGAGAUCACUUAUUCUCUAAUGAAUUUUUUGAUGAUGUAGUUUAUGGAUUUAUUCUCUUCUUAUAGGUGGGAGCAAAUGAGUUUCAAAGAGAAUAAUCUGUUUAUUCUCCCACUGGGAAGAAUCUGGAUUUAAGACCUAUGCUCUCAGGGGCACCUGGGUGGCUCAGUCAGUUAAGCGUCCGACUUCAGCUCAGGUCAUGAUCUCAUGGUUCGUGGUUUCGAGUCCCAUGUCACGCUCUGUGCUGACAGCUUGGAGCCUGGAGCCUGCUUCAGAUUCUGUGUCUCCCUCCCCCCGCCUCUCUCUCUCUCUCUCAAAUAAAUGAACACUUAAAAAAAUAUAGUCAGCUGUCUUCCUUAGCCGCUAUUUCUUUUUUCACCAGUGGAACAGGUAUUUAUACCGAGUGCCUACGAUGUACGGAGCACUGUGCUAGCUCCCGGGGAUGCAGGAAUGAAAAAACACGACAGGGACCUUCCUUUGAGGAACUUGCAUCCCGGGAGGACACAGAGACGCUCAGUAAGUGAGAUGAUGUAGGUAAGAGGAUGGCCGCAGGACGGACGCUUGUCUGAAGAGGUGCCAUCAGAGUGAAGAAAUAGGGUGAAAGUGCCCCAGGCAGCAGUGACUGCUUGUUCAAAGGCCCUGCGGCAGUUGGCGACUAGAAGCAGACCGGGGUAAUUGAAGCAUGCGUAGUGUGCAGUGGCGGCUCUUGGCCAUGCGAAGGCAGGAAGGGUCUGGAAAGCUACGUAACAAUUAAGCGCGGGAAGCGUUGAAGGAUUUCCAGGCGGGGAACCGCCCUUGAAGAAGCUCUCCUGGGCGCCUGAUGGAGACCGCUUGGGGUGGGCGGGUUGAGGCCGGGGCCGCAGUUCAAACGAGAUGUGGUAUUGUGCCGCGGUGGUUGCGCGGAAAGAAGAAGGAAGCGGGUUCACGGUCCGCUGCCAGAAGCUGGAGGUGCUGGUUGUUGGUUUUGUUGUUGUUUGUUGUUUUGGUUUUAAUUAGGCUUCUUCCUCAUCUUUGGCAGGGCAAUGGCUGGAACUGUGUUUAACUGGUGAGAUUGGAUUUUUUUUUUUCCUCCCCAUUUGUUGGUUGGUUUUGUGUGCGUGUGUGUGUGUGUGUGUGUGUGUGUGUGUGUGUGUGACUGGCCUGCUUGUAAUCUUUGUUUAAAGUCUUUCCCUUUAACUGAUUUUUCGAUACUUCCUUGUAUUUGUGAUCUGCGACAGGUUAGAAAAACAUCUUGCCCGGUGUUUUCAUUUAUGAAGUAGUUUGACUGGUAUCUUUAUGGUUGUUUGUUUAAGGCUGUGGUUCCUACCCUUGGCCUGAUAUUUGUGUUUAUGGUAGAAACUUCAUGAAUACACGUGAAGCCGAGAGAACAGUUUACACGUGAUCCACUUUGAACUUACUUCACUCUACACUACAGAGUGAUAGAUGUUCGAAGCCAUUUGAGAGCAAAGAAUGUGUUUCAACAGAGAACAAGCUCAUGGUUGACGGAGGGAAGCAGGUGGGGGACGGACAGAUGGGUGAAGGGGAGAGGGAGACACUUCAGUGACGGGACGAGUCCGUCCUGGGGAUGAAGGGCUCGGCACAGGGAAUACAGUCACUGGUGCUGUGAUGGCGUCGAAUGGUGAGGACAGCAGCCACCCUUGUGGUGAGCACGUCAUAACGAACAGGGAAGUCAGACCACUGUGGGCCACACCUGCCACUAACAAUGCCACACUGUGUGUUAGCCGUGCUCAAAACGUUUGUUUAGAAAGAACGGAUUUCAGGGGCACCUGGGUGGCUCAGUCGGUUAAGCGUCCGACUUCGGCUCAGGCCGUGAUCUUGCAGUUUGUGAGUUUGAGCCCCGUGUCAAGCCCUGUGCUGACAGCUCAGAGCCUGGAGGCUGCUUCGGAUUCUGUGUGCCCCCCCCCCCCAAAAAAAUAAAUACUAAAAAAUUUUUUAAAAAAGAAUGUAUUUCACCACACGAACAGCAGCCAUAGCUGUGUUUGUUCAGAUCUCCUAUUUUUUUUCACCAUGGCUUUUGCUAAUUUUACAAUUUACAUAAUUUUACACAGUUUCUACAAUUCAGCUGUCCAUCAUUGAUUUGGUUCACCAUUUGCAGGGUUCUAAUUUUGUUGCAUUAAGUUAUGGUAGCCAGAGAAUAAAACUUAGGAAGUUUUUUAUAUAAAGCAAGGGUACAUGCUUAAGUAUCUUAGGUGAGAUGGCAGGCUAGCUCUGACUUGAAGUGUGGUCACCUAGAAGCCAGGAAUCGGCCAUGUUGCUGAUGGUAGGGUCACUACAUGCACAUUACAUCAGAUGGAAGGAGCAUCGGUUGUGGCCCGAGGUUCUAGUUCCUACUGGCUCUGGUACCUGCUUGGACUGCUUAGGCGCGGAUCUCUAUUGGAGGAGGUCUCCAAAAUCCUUUGCAGCUGGGGAAGGGCGAGGGGAGGAGUGCGUGAUUUUUGCGGACCCUCUGCUGCCCCCUUGUGGUACUCGGCCUCGGUGCAAAGCUGGAGCUUCAGGCUUUUUCCAGACAAGUCCGCCUCAGUGCCCGCCAGUUUGAUGGACGAGGAUUGUCCCUUCUGUGCAGCUGAACUUUGUGCUGUUGACCACUGGUUAAUUAAUAAAGGGGCACAGCGCGUAGCAUAAUGUAUAGAGAGACGUUAAAUCACCACAUUGUACACCUGAAACUAAUGUAACAUUGUGCAUCAACUACAGGCAAAUUAAAAAAAAAAAUUGGGGGAGGGGGCGCCUGGGUGGCUCAGUCGGUUAAACGUCUGACUUCGGCUCAGGUCAUGAUCUCACUGCUCGUGAGUUCGAGCCCCACAUCGGGCUCUGUGCUGACGGCUCGGAGCCUGGAGCCCGCUUCGGAUUCUGUGUCUCCCUCUCUCUCCGCCUUUCCCCUCCUCAUGCUCUGUCUCUCAAAGGUAAAAAGUUUUUAACUUAAAAAAAAAUGAAGAAACCCAGUGAAUGUGGGCCCCAGAAGUUUAAGAAGUUAUCAGGUAGUUAGAACCAAGAUCACGGCCGGUGGCUGGCAAGAAGCCGAUGUUGGAUACUCAUUUUAUAACAGUUCUUAUAAUAGCUGUCAGGGUGCGGGGGUGGGGGGGGUGGGGAGUGCUUAAUGCGUCUAUUUUGAGUGUGGAUACGAAGGUAAAGGAGGGCUCCACUAGCUUUUUGGAAGCAAGCCUUCAUGGCAAAGGCUGCCCAGAGGAUGCCCAUGUAAAUGCCAUCCCCUUAGAAUCUACCCUCGCGACGCUCUCUAGUCUGAAAAGAGUUUGCGCGCAUCUAGCUGUCCACGCAAGUAUUAGAAAUUUAUUUUGGGACAUAGACUUGAACUUGAUUUCUCCUCUCUGGGCCUGUGAGUUGUUGCUAAUUUGGGAACAUGGUGUUGUUCCCCCGGGUCAUGUUCCCUAAAUUAGCUUUCCUUUUACCUCAGUGAGUUACAUUUAUUUCUGUAGGUGUAAGUUGAGAAGAGAUGGGGAAGGCUUUUUCUCACUGAAAUGGAAGUGUUCCAUUCCAUUAGAAUUACGUGGUAUUUCUAAUCCUCGGGGGACUGGCAAAAAAACCUUCACUGCAGAUGAGAUUUUUUUAUUUUAUAGUAAUCAGGAAACCGUCUUCUGUCAUUUCUGCGUGCUUUCAGUCUGUUACCAACACUAGGCAGUCCCCAGUUGGAACACCAAAAGUAUACUUUAAAUUAGCUGCAUCUUAGUGUUCUGUGUGGUGGUUUGGGCCCCAGUGGGUCUUCCAAAGCCCACAGAUGGUUAAAAAUGACGAUGCUUUUGAGGAAAAUCAUCAGCACACAUCUAACUAAAAAUCUCUAAUUGCUUCUGGGCCACGGAAGCGUUCAGGGGGGCGGGGGGAGGGGAAGCAGUGUAGAAACUGAAAUCUUAAGCCUUCCAGGACAUUUUGAUGGUAUAUGAGACAAGGGGAAAAUAUAUUUGAAAUGUGAACUCCGCAAAUCUGGGGGACAUGGUCCCUGUCUGUAAAAUGCGUCCAUACUUUACGGUACUGUUAUUCUGGGGGUUCGUAUGGUAUUAAAGAGACACCAUUGCCUGUUAACAGCAGCGUGGCUGAAAGUCACGCAAUAACUCCAGGUCUAGAUAUCGCAGGGAGGGAAGCAAUAACCUUUUCUUGCAGCCAUCUCACACUCUCUGGCUGGGGUCCGAUAAAUGAGACUUGACAAAAGACAGAUGAGCCAGAGAAAAAGCCCAGCGAGCUGACCAAGGUGAUGAGGCGCUCGAAGGAACGGGAAGAACUUGGGUCGAUACAGCAUCUCGACAGAAGAACAGUAAAGUUUCUUAGUGAAGGCAAGACCAGGGCUGAAGGACGUGGGUCUUCUCUCGGGCAGCAGCAACGGCGUGCAAGGUCUGCCCUGUGGAUCCUCCGGGCGGAGUCUAAGGUGCUCUCCUGGCUCCCCUUCUGCUGUUCCAGGUAGAGAGGCGGGGCGACCUUGACAAAUUCACGUGCAGCUUGUGGGCAGGCGGGGAAGGGCAGAGCGCCUUUCUUGUGUCCGCCUCCCCUCGAUGGCCUUCACCUGACAUCAGACCUCUGUCAAGGUAGCCCAUCUCGGGUGGUGCAUUCUGCUGUCUCCACACCCCGAGUCUGCCUUGGGUCUUCUGGCCGGCGACCGGCAGGCGGGCAGAGCGUCCUUCAAGAUGUCGCCUCCCGUUUUCCUUUCACGUGACCUGUUAACCGGACCGUGAUAACAGGAACGUAUAUUCUCAGCUUUUACGGCCACUUGGGGAACGCUUUCACCCCUGGCCACUCCUGUCCCCCUCGGUUCUGAGAAAUCCCUUCUCUCCCACGUACAAAACUCCCUGGAUUCUGUUUUUCAUGUUUUUACCUUUGCUCUCAGUUUUCCAUCUCUGUCUUCUUCCACGGAGAGAUUUUUUUUUUUUUUCCAACUGAAUAUGUUGUGCUGUUUUCUUCUUUUUUUUUUUUUCCAACGUCUUUUUAUUUAUUUUUUUUGGGACAGAGAGAAACAGAGCACGAACGGGGGAGGGGCAGAGAGAGAGGGAGACACAGAAUCGGAAACAGGCUCCAGGCUCCGAGCCGUCAGCCCAGAGCCCGACGCGGGGCUCGAACUCACGGACCGCGAGAUCGUGACCUGGCUGAAGUCGGACGCUUAACCGACUGCGCCACCCAGGCGCCCCUGUUGUGCUGUUUUCAUGUUUACCGUGAAUUCAUUCACAAACGGCUUUCCUUUUAAGAUUCUCCGACCAGUGCUCGCUUCGGCAGCACAUAUACUAAGAUUCUCCGACUGCCUUUCCGUGCGUGGCCCAUUCUGUUCGCGGCGUGUGUCUGAGGUUGUGAAUACUCGUUUUUCUCCACAUUUGGAAUUCCCUACUUAGUGGGUGUUCCGUGCCCUGUUUUGUUUCAGUCUCUGGCUUUCCUGUGUAUUGGAGAGUUUCUUCAGAUGUCUGUUACCUUUCAUUUGUCCAUUCGCAUUGUAAGGGAAGCACCAGAGAUGCUGUUCCAGCCGCGCCCUUCACUCCUCUUGUUUUCUGCGGAUUUCAGUGCCAGACGGUCUGGGUCCUUUUCUCUUCCAGUGUCUGGGGUUCGGGAAGCCUUGGGUCUUCCUCUGCCGGGACGUGUGUUCAGCCUGGCAGCCGGCGUUGGGGGCUGUAAGGAGGCGAGGGGCCGGGGCAGGUGUGACGUCGCAUCUGUGUGCAUGUGCUUUCCUUAGUCCCUGUUUUCGUGCGAUGCCCCUGCUCUUAACGGCGCGGGUGCCCCCCUUCCGCGGAAGACACGUGCAGGCUCCCCAGCUGCGGGGAGAGGCGGGGGCAGCUUCCUAAAUGGUCUUCUAACCAGUCCUUCUAUCUUGAGUCCCGCCUCCCCCCCCCCCCCCCCCCCCCCCCCCCCCCCACUCCCCCCUUCCCCGCCCCCCAGCCGCCCUGAUCCUUCAAGGCACCUGUGCCAAUGAGCUUCUCACCCUCCUGGCUUCUCUUCCAGAAAUCACAUUGCUUCUCAUCCUUCCUUCCCAGGGGCUGGGGCUCUGCUUCCUUGGCUCUUCCCAUCUGUUCCCAGCCGGCCACCUGCCUCCCCGCCCCCUCGGCACUUCUCCGGCCACCCGCUUCUUCACCUACCCUCUCUGCUCUUCUCCUCGCCUUUCCUGUUCCUUCUUUUUGAAAAACCAGGAGAGCUUGAAGAGGCCCUGGAAACGAACGAAUGAUCACUCAGACGCCUAUCCUGAAAUGCGAUUCCUCUCUUGAUCGACUGGACUUCGUUUUCCAUCUCCCCUGCUAGACUGUAUGGAUGCUGGAGGACUGGAGCUUGGGGCUUUGAAAAAACCUGUCCGUUGCCUUUAAACCAAUACACCUUAGAUGUUUGCCCAUUUCUCUUCCUUUCACGAGCCCGUGUAGCUCUUGUUCUCCCCGCUUUCCUCCGGGGGCAUCCGCCGGGCACAGGCCCAGGGGAGACCCUGGGAUUUUCUUAUAACUUCUUUAAACACACCUGUCUGUUCUUUUUCUCCUCUUACUGUUGCAUUGAGGUUUCAACUUUCAUUUACCUCUUUUGUAUACUCACUUCACAGCCUCUUCAAACUUACUUUAUUUUCUCAAGGUCGUGGUUUGGCAAACUUCCUGUUUGUCACACCUGCCAAAUUUCUCCCUCAUGGUGGAUUAUUUCCUUGUGUGAUUUAUAAUUUUCAAUUCUCGUUCUUCCUCAGCUCAGAGCACUUCUUCCGUGGGAAUCCUGUGAACUCUUGCCUGCUGAAAGGGCUCGAAGGGGUUGUUCUGUGUUAACUUCUCGUGUGUGUAUUUGCAUCGAUUUCUUGGCUUGGGACCCACACCGCACAGGUCAUGCGAGUUCGAAGUCUGCAUCAUCGGGUACUAAUUUCACAGGCCCACUUUUUGUCGUCUUAGAGGGAUUCUUGUUUAGUUCAAGGGUCUUAGUUCAGUCUUAGUUCCAUUUGCCUGCCUGGAUCUGGCCUCAGGCCGUGUCGUCUGCCCACGCUUGGGUCUGGAAACCCCAGCCCCUGGCCGUUAGGGUCCAAGGCUGGCAUCCCUCUGGGUAUCUUCCCUACCCACAUGAGCAUGGGUGUAGCCCCCGUCCUCUGCCUGUAGGGAAAGGCUGUCAGGUGGAGACACAGGCUGUGUCAUGGAAGGCCAUGGCGGAGGCUCAGGAAUGUGAACAUCGUCCAGGCAGCUGUAGGAGCCCCCAGAGGCCUCCAGCGUCCGGUGAGGAGAUCGCCCUGCACACCACAGAGGCCCGUCUGACGGCAGCAUGGCGGUGGCUGCCGUGGAGUUAGACUACAGGCAGAAACCAAAGCGGAAGCAAACAGAGGUAAGGAGAGGGGAGCCUUUCCCCGGCUUCUUGGUGCAGAUGCGACCACCGCGCACCUCAGCUGGACGUGAGAGCCGUGCAACUUGGAGACCCUGAUUAUUUCCCAGCAUGCCUUGAGUGCUGCUACAGGGGUCUGUAGGACCCCGGAUUAGGUCCGUAGGACCGCGGAUUAUCCAGAUGAAUAUUAAAUAUUCCUGCUGGGGUCGCCUGGGUGGUUCCCGUCGGUUAAGCGUCCGACUUCAGCUCAGGUCAUGAUCUCACAGUUCGUGAGUUCGAGCCCCGCGUCGGGUUCUGCGCUGUCAGCACAGACCCCGCUUUGGAUCCUCUUCCCCCCCAACCCCUCUCUGCCCCUUCCCCACUCGUGUGCUUUCUGUCUCCCUGUCUGUCUGUCUCUCUCUCAAAAAUAAUAAAUAAAUAAGUAAAUAAGUAAAUAAAUAAAGUCAGUAAGUAAGUAAGUAAAAUAGUCCUGCUGGUUUCAGACUUAGGCAGCUUAUCAGUUGGGUGGAACUGAUCAUCUUCAGAGUUUGGUAAUUGGGUUCUGACAGUGAAACCCCAGGGGGAAACUGCAGUGAUUAGCUGUCACGGGAGACCUGCAUGGUUUUCCUUCCUGAAAUGACAAUAGGGCAGGGUUUCAAACAGUCAGUAGAUAGCUGGAUGGACAGGCAUUGAAAGCCUGGAUGACAGAACAGUGGUAAUUCUGAUGGUUUGUCAUUGUUUUCUCUCUGGAAUGAUGGGAAAUCUCUGAGACCAGAACUUCUUUAUGCACUUAGGUUCGGAUCUGAGCUUUAUCUUUGUUGAUGGUUCUGCUCAUAUCCUGGGACCGUUCUGUUUUGGAAAUAGGAGGACUCGGGAACCUAGUUAUACACAGGAGGCAAAGAAUCCACUUAUUUGGAGAAAUCUGCAAGCCCGCUUCUGAUUUUGAAAGAAAGCUAACGUAGGAAGCAUGUAUUUUUAAUUUUACAGUGUAGCCUCCAUAUUUAAAAACAAUAUGCUUGAAGGAAAAACAACCCUUCUCUAAACAGAAGUAAUAUGUAUUUAUCAGAGAAAUUAGAAGAGAGUGAAAAAAAAUUAAGCAGAAACUUAGUUUACAAUUUCAACAUCCAAAGGUAACAGAAGCUGACAUACACCUUCUAGACUUCUUUUUUUUUAAUGUUUAUUUUUGAGAGAGAGAGAAAGAGAGAGAGAGAGACAAAGUAAAGUGUGAGCAGGGAAGGUGCAGAGAGAGAGAGGGAGACAAGAAUCAGAGGCAGGCUCCAGGUUCUGAGCUGUCAGCACAGAGCCCGACAUGGGGCUCGAACUCACAAACAGCGAGAUCAUGACCUGAGCCGAAGUCGGUCACUUAACCGACUGAGCCAGCCACGUGCCCCUCGACUUCCUUUCUGUGGAUAGUUGUGAUACAUGUAUGGUCACAAAAAUGGCUUCAUUGUCUUUUGUAACCUGUUUGACAAAUCUGCGUGUGUGUAUCACUACAGCUAUAGAAACAUCUUCCGGUCUUUAGCGGAGGCUUAAUUAGUAUUCUGUUGUAUGAUGCUAUAUUUAAUUCUCCCUGUAGAACUCUUAGGUGGUUUUUAAUUUUUGCCACAGUAAGUGAUUCUUUGAAUUUUCUGGCUGCUGAAUGUUUCUGUUCGGCCCUGGAAUUACUCACAUGAGCUCCUCUUGCUGGUGGUGGGGCUCCCCUGGAAAUGGAUGACACGCGUGUAUUUCAUACCAUCAGAGAACAGCCACAACCGUGGAACAGCGUAUCCAGUUGAUUUGGCCCGUUUCUUGUCAUGAUGUCACUGUCCUGCUCUUGUCAGCCAAGAAUCAUCUCCUUCCCUCUGGAGCACUGGGGACUGCAACACCAGAAUGGGUCCCUUUGGGAGGGGACGUUUAAAGGGAGGCUGUCGGUGGGUCGUUCUAGGGCAACUGCUGAGAAAGAACUCGUUUCCGAUCUGGUGAAAUCUAAGUAUCGGACUUCCUGAAAUAGACAAGGUGUGGAGGAGAGGGAAGGGUGUCCCCACCUGAGGCUCUCCUAGCAGCCUAACUGGGCCACAGGCCCUUUCUUCUCGUCUCCAAGCAAAAUCAGGCUGCGUGCACUUAGUUCAAGGAGCCUAAGGGGAGAUUUCGUUUGCCAGUCAGAGUUUGACACUGGAGUUUUGAACCGUGCGCGUAACAGCAAUCUACAGUAAAGGACGGUUUGAAGGUUAAGGCAUCCAAAGUGAUGUAAAAUUUCUUCUGCUCUAGACUGAAGUAAACAUGUAGGUCCUUCAGCAGAAGCGAUACAGUUGUUACCCUAACCAUUUUUUCCUUUGGAUAAGUACAGUUGUAAGAAUUUUGCCUCUGUAGGUUAGCUCUUUAUGUGUUAAAUAGCAAAAAAAACAAAAACAAAAACAACAACAACAACAACAAAAAAACAAACUAUAGCUGAUUAGAUUGGAGAAAAGCAUUCAGGAGUUCUCCACACUGAGUGAGAGAAUUGGACACCUGUCUCUUGAGUAUUGCAGAGGGCCUGCCUGCGCUGCUCUAAAAGGCCCAUUAGGUUACUGUUGCCUUUUAUGGAAAGUUCUAGGGAUGUAAAGACCUUUAUCUGGACUUGUAGUGUUUACAAAAAGGCAGUUCAUGUGUUUCAAGACUAUAAUGUUGAUUCUUAAUUAGUGUUGCUCUUUAACAAGGCACCCACAGGUAGGUUUUUGUCAAAAGUCUGAGCUAUUACACACUCACCAAAUUGUGGUCUCGCACAAUGUUGAUUAUUUGAGCUAGUAGAGCAAAAUCCGUAUAGAGCCCGUGUUACUUUUGCUUUUGCUUUUAAACAUUUGAUGCAGGAAGCAGAAAGAAUUUAGCUCACUAUAUGCUUAUAAGAUUAAUCAGGCAUGCACUACUUGCUACUGUGAUUUGCCAUGGUUAGCAUUCAGAAACAUCUGGAACUUUGCUGUACUUUCUUCACUGUCAGGGCAGCUAUGUUCGUUCAAUCUGGGGCCCACCAUGCCUUAAAAAAACUGUAAAAAAUCAAUUCAGGGGUACCUGGGUGGCUCAGUCGGUUGAGUGUCUGACUUUGGCUCAGGUCACGAUCUCAUGGUUCGUGGGUUCAAGCCCUGCGUCGGGCUCUGUGCUGAUAACUCAGAACCUGGAACCUGCUUCGGAUUCUGUGUCUCCUUCUCUUUCUGCCCCUCCCCUGCUUGCACUCUGCCUCUCUCUCUCUCUCUCUCUCUCUCUCAAAAGUAAAUAGACAUUAAAAUUUUUUUUUAAUUCAGUUCUUACUUUCAUGACACUUCCUUUAAUAAGUUCCUUGAAACUUUAAAGGUUAACUGACAUUCAGUAAAUAAUUUUUUUACAUUUUUAUGUAUUGCUUUAUGUUAUCCAAAGCACAGUCAUGCACACAUUCCUGAAACUAAUGCAGUAAGCAUAUGGAAUAAAUCAUUCCUCCGCAGGAAACUGAGGCCUUGGGAUUGGAGGAAAGUAGAGUAAUUAUUAGAACUCAGAUUUUCAGGGGCACCUGGGCGGCUCAGAUGGUUAAACGUCUGACUUCGUCUCAGGUCAUGAUCUCUCAGUUUGUGGGUUCGAGACCCAUGUCGGGCUCUAUGCUGACAGCUUGGAGCCUGGAGCCUGCUUCGGAUUCUGUGUCUCCCCCUCUCUCUGCCCCUCCCCCACUCGUUCUCUGUCUUCCUCUCUCUCAAAAAAAUGAAAAAACAUUAAACAAUUAAAAAGAACUUAGAUUUUCUGAGCAAUUGUUGUGCACUGCGUUAUGCAAUGUGUUUUAAUUUCUUGAAAACUUGUGUUCAUUGUUUAAUUCAUAUCGUAGCUUUUUGUGAACACAACGAUGUCUUAUUUCUCGACAAUACCAGACAAUAAGAUAAUAUAGUAGAUUCUUUUUGAGCAGAGAUAAACCACAUACUCAUAAAUGACUUAGUUCUUUUGUUUGGUUAAUGUUUUGUUUUCAUUACCAGGCUAAUUGCUUUAACUUAUUUGUGUGGUUGUAGAGAGCUGGCCUUGAUAAUGAAGUACAAAUAGUUUAUAGUGUGUUGUGGCACAUUAUCUGAUGGCUUUUAUAAUUUUAAAGCCUAAAAUAUCUACUGUAAGAAUGGGAGCCGGAUUGUGUUAGCAGAUUUCUUUUUCCUUUAGUCUGGGUCUGAGAGAAACCUGCUGGGUAUAGGAUCCGUGAUGAGUAGGAGGGGUUGUUCCUGCCCUCAGUCCUGUAGGACUCCAUGAUUUUGGUUUAUAGACUCUUAGCCUGCCCCUCACACGUGUUCACAUCCAUGAGGUCGUCGAGUACCUGCAGCGGGGGGCCCGGGACGCGUGUUGGGUUCCGUCUCGCUGCAGACUAGCUCUGCUCUUCUGCAGGAGAGUUUAGACGCGUCACCGCCGCCUGGACUCUGGUUUACUUCCGUGCGAAAAUUGCCCAUGAACGAGCGUCCCGGCACCUCUUCCCUCUCUCAUCUUCCAGUAUUUCGGGAUAUACCGAGUUUAUGUCCAGAUUUUAUUCUCUUUUUACUUUGGAAUUCUGAGUACCCAAUCUAAUGCGUUGAGCUCUGCAUUAUUUCUGAACAUUCUCCCCGUAAUGGAUUUGGGGCGACUUUUCUGGACGGGGGUAGUAGUUGUUUUCGGAGCUCAGCCCAACAUGCAGUCUUCUGGGUCUAGAUGGGAAAACACUUCUCAGAAACGCUGCACCCUAUCCUAUCCUGUCCUGUCCUGUCCUGUCCUGUCCUAUCCUAAAGUGCGCAUGUGGGGUGUCUGGGUGGCUCAGUCGGUUACGCAUGGGCUCAGCGUUGGCUCAGGUCAUGAUCUCAUGGCUUGUGGGUUUGAGCCCCGCACUAGGCUCUGUGUGGACAGCUCAGAGCCUGGAGUCUGCUUCGGAAUCUGCGUCUCCCUCUCUCUCUGCCCCGUCCCCACUCACACUCCGUCUCUCUCUCAAAAAUAAACAUUAAAAAAAAAAAAAGUGAGCGUGUGAGGCCAGCCACUUUGUCUCCCGCGGCUGGACCCUGGGGUGUCUGAGUAAGUCCUCACCUUUGAGCAGUGACCUUUGAGGUAUUGAGUAUGCCUGGCAGUUGCUUCCAUGGAAAUUUUCUUUUCCCCUUUUACGUGAUCUUAAAAUCGUCUGCAAGAAAAUAGCAUCUAGGCCUUUAUUUUCAAGCUUCAAAGCUUGCUUGAAAAACAAAGGUUUCUUUUCUGAGGAAAUUUGGAAGCCUGUUUGAACUCGUGUGUCAGAAUGAUUGGGCUUUAAAAAUGCCAUUUGGAGGUGGCAGCUUCAGUCCCUAUUUAUGAAAUGUCACCGGGGGCCCGGUCGGGUGUCAGAAAGCAAGCGGGACAUUACCAGAAGAACAAGACAUAUUUCUUGGCGUAAUCAGUAGCUUUCAUUCCUUUUCCCCCAUGAGGUCCUCAGAGCAGGAGCAGCCCCAGGGAAGGUGGGCAAGGUUGUUGUUAAUCCUAUUUUCCAGAGGAAACUGAGGCUCGGCGAGGGUUCAGGACUUUGUCAGGAAGGGAUGUAGCCAAGCAGGGGCCCGACUCCCGGCUCCCCGACUCACAUAGGCGGCCGUCUUUGUGGGCACACGAGCCGGUUCCAUCACGUGGUCGCAGGUAUCGGCACGGUCAGGAUUCGGGCAUGGGGAUGGGAUUGGGAAGGAUCUGGAGGACCAAGGGAAGAAGACCUUGGACUUGUUGGAGCGGAGUCGAUGGCGGGGUGUGCGCGCUGGGGGUGAGCGCCGGGACGGCCUCGGGGAGGGGACGGCGCCGUUGUCCUCUCACCAGGGGAGCCGUCGCUGCGUCUUGCUGCGUCUUGAGAGUUCCUGUGGCUGUCAAACUGCUGAUGGGACUCACUUUUGUGACAUCCGUGUUCCUCCAUCUGCGAGCGUGUCUGACGGCCUCUAUUGUCUCCUACCUUUGGCCGUUUUCCUGUUUUAAAGGUUAUUAAGCCUUAGGAGGAGAUUAUCAGACAAUUUCCUCAUCAGAAAGAAGUGAAAUCACGAGUUGGCAUGGUCUGGUCUCUGUGGUCCCCCGCGGGUUCCCCUCUGGCCGACUUCCCACCUCCGGCAGGGGAAAUGAGGAAGCCACACGAAAAGCCCUUUCAUUCCCUUGGGCCUGAACGUUCCACCAGGAUUUCUUCUCUAGAGUUCUUGUAGCCACUCCCACGUGCAGAAGGCCCCCUCGCCUGUUACUGUAACUCUGCCGGGGAGUAUCUGGCGAGUUCCCCUUUCCUGUAGGACCUUCCGGCAGGACUCCCAUGUGGCUUGUGUCUUCUCGUCACCGGGCAGGACUGGCGACGACUGACGCUCUUCUCUAGUGAUUUUCAAAUGGCCAGAGGUCCACUUUGGUUUCAUGUUUCCCUCUGAAGAAUGCCCACCGCAUCCUCCUUGGCCAUCCAGACGGUUUUCAAGCAGUUUGCAGCGUCAGUGGCAAUGUCCGUAGGUCUUACUUUCCACGACCCCGUCUACAUGCCGAUAGAUGUAAGGGGCAUGCCCUGAGGUACUGAGCAGAGGUCGAGUGAGCACCUCCCAGCCCUUGCAUGGUGAGUAUGUGGAUGUUCAAGACGGCAGCCCUCCCGCCCUCACUCGUGGUCUCCUGGGUGAAGUGCAGACAGACACUUGCCACAGGCCGGUGGAACAGCAACGUGGAUGCCCAGAAGAGAGAACACCCAAUGUUUUUGCAAGGUCUGGAAUGUCUUGAGCUGUGCUGCCAUUUGAUUGGUUGUUAUGGGGGUGGAGAAACUGGGAGUGGAUGGCUGUCCACCUUGAUUCCAGACUCUGAUUCAGGGUACGGUAGAGACGAGUUUGGACUUUGGAAUUGAAGACCUGAAUUUGGGUCCUGUUUGUGCCGUUACCAAUGUGCUCCUUGGGGGGUUGACAGGGAUCGCUGGGGAAGAAAAGUGGUGGGGAGCAAGCCUCAGUGAAGUCAGUUCGAGGAAUCGUGGUAACCCGGUUUUGGUCCCGGACGAUUUCCUGGAGCCUCUAACUCACGCACAGUCCCAACUGCCAACGCAUAGUGCUGGCCCUCGGAGAGGACGUGCACUUCCUAGACCUCAUUUGGAUGAUCUCUAAAGCGCAGAGCAUUUUGUCAGAUUAUGAUUCUACGAAGCAUACUCGGGAAACACGGUCAUGACUCAUUUCUAGCCAUUAAACCUAUUAAUCUGUGCACGUUUUUUUUUUUGUUUUGUUUUUGUUGUUGUUGUUUUGUAGUUAGCACCACAUUCACCUUUUGAGAAACAAAAGUUAGGCAGCUCUUGGACAGGGUGUUUCCAUGGUGAGGGAAAGUAGACAUUAGCUAUUGGAUAGGAUAGAAAAUUUGAGAAAGAGAAAAAAAGGAUAUGGGAUCUCCAGACCCCUUUUAGUGCUGCAAUUACAUACGACUUUUCAAGGGGAUACUUGACUGUUCGUUUCACAGAUGAAGGCGCUGUUGACUCAAAUUAUGCUUGGUCUUCCGCUGACCUCCGUUAUUUCGCUAACCACGAUCGUUUGUUCCAGAACGCGGUCUUUACUUCUCACGUGUUGUUUUGGAUUUUAAGUGAUUGUUACAACACUGAUACAUGCUGAUUAAAGAAAACCAGCUGAGAGAAGAGUAGAAAAUGACCCCACAUUUGGAAAACGGAUUCUUUGGUGUUUUUUUGCGUGUAGGACUCUGCAGUUGUUGGACCAGAUGCUCUCGAAGCUCAGCAUUUCUGUGAUUCCCUUGUGUCUCUGUGACGUUGCAGUGGCUUAUGUACGUUUGAAGACAUUUCUCCACCAGGUAGUUUGGUAGAUUCGGCCACUUCGCCGCGUUAUUUCAGAUUAUCUCAGAAAGUAGGUAGUAAGCACAGAGGGAAUCCCCAACCUAUACCGAGGCAUAUCCGGAGCACUGUUGGAUGCUGGCUUAGAAAACAUUGUUCGGUAUCUGUCCGGGUCUAAUCUAAUGCUCCUUCAGGAACGAUGGGCCAGGGAGACCCUGGACCAGGCCCUGCGGCCAGCUGCGCCCUCCCCGGCAGGUGGUUCUCCGGGUGCAGCCAGUUGCAACUUCCCCGGCAGGUGGUUCUCCAAGUGCGCGGGGCACCUUCCCCGGUAGCCUGUUCUCGGGGUGCACGCUCUGCCUUCCCCGGUAACCGGUUCUCGGGGCGUGCGCCGUGCCUUCCCCCGGUGGCCGGUUCUCGGGGCAUGCCCCCGGGGACUGACGUGCGGCCCCCUCCUGACUGUGUCUCUUGCCUCCGCAGAAGGAAGACCCCCGGUGCACCAUGAGGUGAGCGCGCUCGGGCGCCCAGAGCCCCGGAGAGCUGCGUGCG